GUCGAUUUGGAGGUUGUGCCCUUGAGGCGUGGCUUCCGGAGCUAACGCGUUAAAUCGACCGCCUGGGGAGUACGGCCGCAAGGUUAAAACUCAAAUGAAUUGACGGGGGCCCGCACAAGCGGUGGAGCAUGUGGUUUAAUUCGAUGCAACGCGAAGAACCUUACCUACUCUUGACAUCCAGAGAACUUUCCAGAGAUGGAUUGGUGCCUUCGGGAACUCUGAGACAGGUGCUGCAUGGCUGUCGUCAGCUCGUGUUGUGAAAUGUUGGGUUAAGUCCCGCAACGAGCGCAACCCUUAUCCUUUGUUGCCAGCGGUUCGGCCGGGAACUCAAAGGAGACUGCCAGUGAUAAACUGGAGGAAGGUGGGGAUGACGUCAAGUCAUCAUGGCCCUUACGAGUAGGGCUACACACGUGCUACAAUGGCGUAUACAAAGAGAAGCGAACCUGCGAGGGCAAGCGGACCUCAUAAAGUACGUCGUAGUCCGGAUUGGAGUCUGCAACUCGACUCCAUGAAGUCGGAAUCGCUAGUAAUCGUAGAUCAGAAUGCUACGGUGAAUACGUUCCCGGGCCUUGUACACACCGCCCGUCACACCAUGGGAGUGGGUUGCAAAAGAAGUAGGUAGCUUAACCUUCGGGAGGGCGCUUACCACUUUGUGAUUCAUGACUGGGGUGAAGUCGUAACAAGG
rnacentral:rRNA from 1 species